AAUGGGUUUAACUGAUAUUUGACAGGUUGAUGGUAAGUUCACUUCCACUUUUUGGUAGAGAGUCUUGAGACUCUUGAGAAUCUGAUCAUACAUGAGUACAUGGGUGAUGAUUGCUACUAUUAUCCUGAUGACUUAAUGGAUAUUCUUUACCUCUCUAGUUCCUAACCCUCCCUACCCAGCUAUCUAAGACUGUUAGCAGUGUAGCACUCAUUAACUUUUCUUUCCCCAGCUUUGGGGAUGUCCCCUGAAAUUGACUUUCCUAACUCCCACUUCCUCUACUUUCUUUUCCUUCUAUUUAUUCCUUUUGCUUUUUCUCAUAUUGACCUUAUUCAGACUUAUUCUCUCAGCCAAAACAUCAUUUGCCCAGGCUUCAAAUGUGCAACCUCUCCACUAGUUUCCCAGAAUCCUCGGCAUUCUCCAUUGUCAUUCUUUUUUUCUUUUAUCAUCUACCUCCUCUUCUCUUUGUUUCUUCUCUCCCAUCUCAUCAUCUUCAAUCCAGAUCCAGUUUUCAGCUACCUGUGAUCUGUUCCCAUCUAACAGACCCCCAUAGCAUCCCAGGGGCAGACUUAGAUUCUUCCUUCCAGGUAAGAGAGCCUUUGGUCUUAAAUGCCCAUCUUGCUUGGCAUAAGAAGGUUUGCAUCAAUUUCCUACCCACAUUCAAAACUUCAGAGUUGUCUUGAUUCUUCUCAUUUUCCCUCCUCACAUCUCAUCUGUGCAGGUUUUAUAUCAUCAUUCCCACCAAAGCCUCAAGUGUCCAUCGCCCCAGUGCUAUGGUGGAAGGGCACAUUCUGCUUACCCUGCAUUUCACAAUCAUCAUUAAACUCUGCCCACCUUUAAUCUCAUUCUUCCCAGUGCUCCAUGUAUCUGUAUCCAUAGGAACCAGUUCUCUCACAUCAGAACCUCUAGGUUGGCACCUAGGCACUGUAUCACGUUCCUGGAGGGACUUCCAUGUGUAUCCUAGGCUGAUGACUAUAUAGCUCAAAGGGAUAGCUAAGCAUGUCCAAGCUGGUCGGUCAAUGGUCCUGACCAUUUCAACAUAUGGUUAGCACUGGAGAGCCUGUUGAAUCAACAUGCCAGACACUAUUCUUAGCAUUCCUGAGUACGUGGUUCUGAAAAAAGGAGAGAUGGGAAGAUGGGGAGGAUUUCAUUUUAAAUUGGGUCUCAGAAGCUGCUAUUUGUUGCUGGUCUUUGUUGACCAAACUCAGAACUGUAGCACAAGGUAUUGAGUUGUCCUCUUUAAGGGCAGAAUCAUGUAAAUUGAAAGCACGUAGAGCAGCUCAUUAAGCCUGGAUCAAUAAAUAAACCUGGCAAUGCUCUGACAAAGGGCCAGGUGAGCAGGGACUUGGAGCAAGUCGUGUCUUCCACAAGAUCUUGUUCUUUUAGUGACUUUGCUCACUAGGAAAGGCUGGACUUUGUGUUCAUAUCCAACACUUAGUUAGGGGUGGAGCCAAAUGCCAGAAGAUGCAAACAAAUACAACAGUGAGAAAGCAAUGUGUGGUCCAACUCACAAUCUGAGGAAUUUCCCAAGCUCUCAACUGAAUUCUCUAUCCCUGUUCACUGCCUGCUCAUCACGUUAUCAUAUAUUUGUCUAUUUAUCUGUCUGUCAUCUAUCAUCUCUAUCUAUCUAUCUAUCUAUCUAUCUAUCUAUCUAUCUAUCUAUCUAUCUAUCUAUCUAUCUAUCUAUCAUGUAUCUAUGUAUCCAUUCAUCUCCUGGGAUAUCUAUGGGUCAGUUUGUCUAUGUAACAGCUAUGAAACACAAGAAUAUAUUUAGAAAGAUUAGACUAACAUGAGGCAGCUCUCACAAAUGCAGAAAAGAAUAUAGGUCCCGGCAGAACUACUGCUGGACUACCCUAUUACUAGGAAGGAUAUGGGUUAUUUUCCCUUUCAUUUUAUUUAGGUUUUACAGGUAAUUGCGACCUAGCAGGCAGAUAAAUCUGUAUUCAACAUCUCCUGGCAGGAAUCCUUGUAAAUAACAUUCUUACCCAAAUUCUUUAGGGCUUGUAGCGAGAAAGGGGGAUGAUGAAUAUAAUGUGGAAUGGGGUUUGUAAAUCUUUUUAAGACUUGAUUUUCCCCCUACUUUUCUAAGCAUCCGUAUUACAACCAGUCCUUUAGCUAAUAUUGUUUUUGUGCCGAAAAGCAAAGUUUACCAGGGCUGGCUUCACUGUGAGCACUUUAUAAUUACAGGAGAAGGACAAGUGCCUGAAUUCUGAACAGAAGAAAAAAAAGCACCAAGAGCUGUAUCAAUUCAGCUAAUGGCACAAAUGAGACUUAAGAACCAAAUGAAGGACUAGUAAUAGGAUGGACCCUCAUCGCCUGCUAAAUUAGGGGAAAAAUCCUACAAAGCUAAACUAAACUAGCUCAUCACUCAGUCCUUACUCAUAUUCUCAAAGUGUGGAUUAAUCAGAGAGCCAGGGAAGAGAGGAGCAGGCCUCUGCCUCCCAUUCUUUGAAGUGUGAUAGAAUGAUGAGCUUAUGUUAGAUGCUUUUCUGUCACCAUAGACCAACCGAGUUCAACACAUUUUGGGUGGUUAUGAAGAUGCAUGUAGUCAUCAUUUAGUGACUGGGACAGCCAUGCUUUAAUCAGGCCAGGGACGCACGCACACUGGUUAUUUUCUGGACAUUUAGCAAGAAGGAAAAUGUCGAUAUGAUCCUUAAGGUUUUUCCUGGGUGAGAGCAUCUGGGAUUUCCACUGCAGGCUUCUUGUGUGAGGUGAGGAAGAACUUCCUUGGUAAUACUGUCGGGGACGGUUCUGAGAGGACGACACAGAUCUGUCUCACCUUCAUUCUGGGCUGGGUUAACAGAUUUAUCAUAAAUUGAGUAUCUGGAUUCUCUUUGAGAGGAAUCUCUAUUCCUUGGUUUUAUUUUGGAUUUUUCUUUUAGCUCCUUUUUUUUUUUUUUUUUGGUAAACAUUUGUUUUUAAAUUCUGCAUAUGCAUGCAUAUGUGAGUGCAGGAACCAAAAAGGCACAGAAGGGCAUUUGGAUGCUUCAGCUGGAGUUACAUGCGGUUGUGAGCUACAAGCAUGGGUACUGGGAACUGAACUCCGGUCCUCUCUAAGCUGCUGAGCCAUCUUUCCAGCCUCUGCCCCCACUUCUUAAUAAGAGCACAUCUUCAUCUCUGCUGGGUUUUCUAUUGUGAAUGUUUUCUGUCUUUUUCUAGAGGGAAGACUCGGUGUUUGCUUAUUGUUUUAUUUUCUCCAUCAACCAACAAGCAGCUUCAGAAUGAAAGUGAACUGAGUGAGUGCAGGCAUCGCCUGUUGAUCAAGAACUUCAUGCUCCAAUUAUGGCCAUUUUAGUAAAAUUUCUGACUUCCACAUCAUCUAAGGUGGGCAGACCACCAUAGUCCUUCACCACUAGUGUCCCUUAGUCUUUUUGUCCCCCAUUACUGCAGCAAACACCAAAGGCUACAUAAUCAUGUAAAGAAAGGGAUUUUUCAUUCAGCACUCAGCUCAGGAUGAUGAAGAGGUACUGGUACCGGCCUGGCUGUAUGAGGGCCUCGUGGCACAUGGCUUCACAAUAGCCAGUGUGUAUGUGAGCAGAAGAGAUUCCAUGGCAAAAUAGGUUGCCAGGGUGUGAUAAGUGUCCCAUCAGAACUACAAUAAUCAGGCUGGAGCAGGAGCCCGGUGGAUAAUGUACUUGCUGUAUAAACAUGAGGAACCACCGAGUUCGGAUCCCCAGAUCCACAUAAAUGCUAAGUAUGUAUGGUGGCCCUCCCCUUAGAGAGCAGAGCCAGGGAUCCGUGAAGGAAGCUGGCUCGCUAGACUAGCCAGACUGAUGAGCUCUGAGUUCAGGUGAGAGACCCUGCCUCAGUGAACAAAUUAUAAAAAUAUAAGGAAGACUUUCGAUAUCAACCUCAGAGCUCCACACACACACAUAUGCAUGUGAGCAUGUGCACGCACAUGCGCAGACAUAAACAUACCUAAGAUGAAAACAGAAAACCAUCAAAAAUAACAUCAACAAAAGAAGUACAUUAAUUGCUUCCAAUAUAUUACACCAGAGUUGUGAGAACGGCCAUCAGCCCCUACAUGUUAAAGGCCUACCAUCUCAACAGGGCCACACCAAGAACCAAGCCUCCAACACAUGAGUCUUGGGAAUGCAGACUGCUUCAGAACAACAAUAUGUCACCUCGGUAUGGAUGUAUUUACCCAUCAUCUGUCCUUUAGCAUUGCAAGCUCCUGCACUCCCAGACUCAGGGUCUUCCUUUGUUUCAACAUCUCUUUACUUGCUGCCUGCAUUGUCUGAAGUCUCUUCUACCCCAGCCCAUGGCUGCUCAUGACUCAGGUUAUUAGCCGGGUUUUAUACUGCAGAAAGGCUUUGUAUAAACCCAGUACUAGCUCAGGUAUGAAGUGCACCCAGUGUCAUGUUAUGCUAGUGUGUGUCAGGGUACCUAACUUCCUUCCUUGCAAGAACCUCCUGUGUCUGCUGUUCUUCAGGCUGUUCCUACUGGUGCUGCCACCAACUAGACUAGAGUUGGCCAUUUUUGAUUUGUCACCUCUUAUAUAAUGUCAUUGUGUAUGAUGUAACAUCUGUAAUAGUAGAUGUUCCAUAAGCAUUGAAGUAAUGGGAAUGAGUUAUUUGUAUCAUUGAUGACAGUAAAAAAAAAAAAAAACUAUUCCAUGAAACUUCAGUUUCUAAGCCUCACAUAGCAUCCUUUACAGAAAACACUGACUAGCAACUGCUGAGACCAGUGGGACCAAAUACCACUUGGGAACAUUUUAGAAACACAAAGUUUUGGAUGCCAACUUAGACUGUUGGAUAGAAUAUUGCACAGGAGUCUGAAAUCUGUAUUCUUCAAGCUCUAUAGGUGCUUGCUAGGGAGAACCUCUGUUCGAAGUAAUUAGAAGCAAUAUUUGGGAACGAAGCACACAGCAGAGAGAAGGCCAAGGCCAAGGGAAUGUAGCAGGGACGGCUCACGUCCUAGCGGCUAUGCUUGAUUUGCUGCGUAUGUGGAUUUGGGUAGCUUAGCUAAACUCUGUGAGGAUCAUUUCCUUCAUUAAUAAAAGGCAGAGGGGGAGCAGAACAAAUGACAAAUUUUAAAUGACUAGUGUGCCUACGGUACAGUGCCAGUUCAACAGAUGGUGGGCCCUAAUUUACGGUUCCCCCAAAUGUACGCCAUUUAAGAUCAGUUCCAAAAAUGUUCAGAGGGAGGAGAAAGAAGAGUGGAGGGAGAGGAGGAGGCAGAGGAAAGUGGAAGGCAGAGGCAGUGGAGAUGAAGAGGUAGGAUGGGGAGAAAUGGGGAAAGGCAGAGAGGGAAAGAUGUGAAGGAGAAAGGGAGGAAGAGGACGGCUCAUGCCUCCUCAGGGGUCAAAUAACUUGGAGAAACAACAAAUGUGUUCUCAUGGAGACUCUUAUUUCCCAUAAGUAAAUUAAGGGCUCUGAAAAAUGUUGGCAAUCCCCACUCAAGUGCAAUUUUAUUUAAUUCUUUUUUUUUUUUUUGCCAAGUUUCUUCUUUCUCUUCUUCCUUCCGCCCUCGGGGUGAGCUCUUUCCCAUGGUUCCUCCAUUCCCUCUCAGCUCCUUCUCUCCCUCAUUUCAAGGGUGAGCAGGGGAGGGGGUGCCCCUGAUCAUCCAGGAAAAGAAAAAUGAAAAUUUCACAUUAGUUUCGGGCCUUAGGCCAUUUUGUUUCUAACUAGCAAUUUGGGGAAACAACCUCAAGUCAACAUACUGACUGUGUGGGAAACGUGGAUUGUGAUUUGUCAGUCGCUUACCAGGUACUCAUGAAUGAUGAUGCACUGUUAGGCACACUUUAAGAACUGAGGAUGCUGGCCAUAGUUAAGGAAGCAGGUUCAGGUGGGAGAGCUGUCCAAGGAAAUGAUAUUCAGUUGAGUAGAGGCCCAGGUCUGUCAUGAGAGAUGUGGAGAAAGACCAGGCAGGUGGAACCGGAAUUGCAAGCAAGGCAUAGAAAGGGCUCAGUGCUUAUGAUGAAUGGGGGAGGCCUAGCGUGGCUGUAGGGUGGAGCAGGUAGAGUAGGAUUGGAGUCAAGACUGCUAGGCUGUGGUCCUAGCCUCUCACACUAACUAUAAUACCUGGUCUGGGUCUCACACUAAAUAUAGCAAAUGCCCUCGUGUGGCUUGGCAUUGAGGUAGGGGAAUCUUGUCCCAGGCUUUAAACACAACUCCCAUAGAUCUAGAGAGCCAACAUGUUUGUUUACCAUUCAUUCACCCAUUGGCAAGUCACCUUUGAUUUUUGAUAAGCCAGGCACAGUACUUAGUGGGUAGAAUAAACACAGAGAAAUAACACUCUGUUCUCGUGGCAUUUUCUACCUAGUAAGGCAUGGCAGUGCCAGGGGUUCUUGGUGACCGUACACCAUAUUAUGCUGAUGUCAAACUAUCCAUCACACCCUUUUGGGGGUUAUGUACAGUGGGACUCAGUAUUUGGUGGACCUGAAACAUCACACUACUCUAUUGACUGCAUAAGUGCAUGGUUUUACCACACUGAGCCUGUCUGGAUUCUGAGUUGUAUAUUCACAUGCAUUAGAACAAUAAAAGUCAAAACUAGCACCUGACCUCAGUUUCCCAAACAUUGCUAACAAUGGUUAACUAAUACUAACAACUGGUUCUCCCAAUACUCAAAUGACCAUUCUACUACACUUUUAAAAGUAGAUUAUUUCCUUCUUUAUUUUGUUAAAAAAAAAAGUCCCCCCUCUAACACUAUCUUGAAAGGCCUCUUGUUUAGAAAAAAAAAAAAGGUUAAAAAAUGUUUCACACGGCAAAUGAGUAGAAAAAUACUGGCAACGAAGCAUAUUCUAAGGUAAUUUAAGCGUUGUGAUAAGCCAAAAGGAAAGAUAAACAGCCCCCAGAAACGCACAGUGUUAAAGAGGCUGCUCCCUCUUAAACUCUAAUUGGACACAGCAGGGGUCUUGAUCCGUGGGUCUAGUUGUUUAUGAGUGGAAUUUCCUUCUACAGUGUAAUAAGUUAAAGCGCCAGUUUGGCUGCUCUGAAGUUGAUUGCCUCACUCCUAAUCAUGUAACCUCUAACCGGAUGUAACCUCUAACCGGAUGUAACCUCUAACCAGGGAGGACAGCGGUGGGAGGAGCAGAGCGGUGAAAACACAUACCCGAGUCCGGAACACAAAGUAGGCAAAUGGUUCCUAUGUUUUCCUGAUUUCCUGUUUUGAGGGGCUGCCAAGUGAGCACCAGCCUACCCAGAAGUCCCCUUAAUGUUUCUUACAUUUGAGGGAGUUCUCAGUAGCCUGACCCCACUUGUAAGAGCAGGUGCUGAUGAAGCCAGAGAAGACGGUAAGAGAAGAAGUCUGGCCAAGAGCUAAGUCUGGAGCUGAGCGGUCUCCGGUGGUGCCUCGGAGUUAGUGUCAGGAUUAAUGAGCGAUUUUGAAUGAGGUUCUGAGUUCUAUGGGUGGAAGUGCUGAUUCCUGUGUCCGUGUAGGGCAUCAUUACUAUUAAUAAGCAAUAAUGAUAACUUGCUCUCUGCCUCUCACUGUGCAAUGGAGAGGCAUUUUUUUCCCACACAUUAUCUUGAAGUAUAAUUAUCCCUGUGUUAUAAAUGGUGAAACUAAAACACAGAGAAGUUAAUUAAACAACUUGCCCAGGGUAACAAUAGUCCAAAUGGAGAAGAGAAUAUGGCAUAGACUCGGGAGCUCUUAAGAGCAUGUGAUCGCAGAGCAAUGUUGGAGGCAAAUAUGAGUGCAGCACUGACUUAUUCCCGUGCAUGCUGACACUGUAUUCCUUUUGUGUUCAUAGGUGUGCAUUAUGUGAGGGGGGAGUUCAGGUUCCUGCAUGCAUGCGCAUGUAUGGGAAUGUGCACGCAUGUACAUGUAUGUGUGUGUGCAUGUGGAAGCCAGAGAAUCCAGCAGUCCUCAACCUAUGGGUCGCAACCCCUUUGGGGUCUAAUGACUCUUUCACAGGAAUCACCUGUCAGGUAUUCCACAUACCUUUCUGAUUCAUAACAGUAGCAACAUUACAGUUAUGAAAUAGCAAGGAAAAUAACUUUAUGGUUAGGGGGGUCACCGCAACACGAGGAACUAGGGGUCGCAGCAUUGGGAAGGUUGAGAACCACUGGAUUAACAACUUGCCAACUUGUUUUUUGGUGUGUGCUUUCUCAAUGAACCUGUAAAUCACUCAUUUGGCUAGCUGGCUAGCCAGCAAGCCCAAGGGAUCCUUUGGCCUCCCAAGUCCUGGGUUUACAGCUUUGCACCAUAGCACUUUGGGCUCUUUGCUUAUGUUCAAGGAAUCCAAACUCAGGUCCUCCUGCUUUACCAUAAUGGCUUUAUUGACUGUGCCAUCCUCCCCAGCCCCACAUACUCAAGCUUUUUUUUUUUCUUUUCUAGAUAUGGCUUCUAAAACAAUAGGUUUGGAAGAGGACACCCAUCCCUAAUCCCUAACGUCACAAUGGCGUGGCGCAUGUUAUUCUGCGUCCUGAAAUCUCUGCUGUACUCUCGAAUUACAGACUAUAACUUUAUAGUCACCAAAAAGACUGACGGAACGACAAUCUCCUUCUCCCCAUGUAAUAAAUGAUAGUCUCAGGGUGCAAGCACUGCCACACUCAAUACCUCAAGCUACUUGAACUCCCAAGGGUCCACUGUGUAUGGGACCUGGGAAGCUACUUCUACAGUUUCCGUGAUCCCUCCGGUCCACUUCUCCUGAUGGCGACCUCUCUGACAUGUCCUCUGACUUCUCUGGAAGGCCAUGAAGCUCAUGCUCACACCACCCGUGGGAUCUCUGUGGCCACAAGAGGUUUGCAUUUCUCAGCCAAGGAAAAUGCUUCAUUGCAUUUCUCUUAACAAAUCUUCCCCCAUUAGACUAAGAACCACCUCUGGGUAGGACCUCCUCCCCACCGUUUCUCAGAAGCAUGGCAGGAUGCCAGGAGCAUUGGGGCAUCGGAAAUAAAGCGGGAGUCCUGGUAACCUUGGCUGCCUCUGUGAUUCCUGGCGAUCAGGAUGGUGCUCACAGAGGAGGACAGAGUGUGUGAGGGUAGCUGGGACAGCACCAGGGUAAGCUUAACUGUGUGUGUGACGGAGUGUGGAAGCAAGGAGUGCUACAGACUGCUGCAGGUAAUCUGGACUGUAGCAGGCUAGAUGUUGGGUACCCACCAUAACUCUGAAAAUUUGGUCAGGAUGGGUGUUAAUGAGUAGGAAUGUUAUAGUUCCUCCAAACAACAACAACAACAACAACAACAACAACAACAACAACAACAACAACAACAGCAACAGCAGCAGCAGCAGCAGCAGCAGCAGCAGCAGCAGCAGCAGCAGCAACAGCAACAGCAACAGCAACAGCAACAGCAACAACAACAACAGCAACAACAAAUACCAGGACUCAUAGUGAGUCUUGGGUAUUUCUUCUUCAGGAUGCACCGUAUAGAGGGUAUAAACAAGUGUUCAACUAAAUGAAGCAUCUGUGACUAUGCAGGAUGGGUUUAAAAGAAACAUUUUAAGAGCUUAAAAGAAAUUUUGUUCUUUAGGUCAGUAUCUGUCAGAACGUCAGAAUGAUUUUUUCUCUUCUCCUAUGUGCCUUUAAGUUGAACAGACAUGAUCUCUCUGUGUCUCUGUGUCUCUGUGUCCCUGUGUCUGUCUGUCUGUCUGUCUGUCUGCCUCUCUCUCUCUCUCUCUCUCUGAAUCAUCUAAUUGCAGCCACUUUAAGGUACACCAAGAGGCUGUGUACUCAGGCUGAGUAUAUAAUAAUAUGGGGAGAGACUCACAGGUCUGACACCACACACAGUAUACUGUGCUUAUAUAAACCAAUACUCUAGAGAGGCAUGGGGAACAAUUGAAAUGGAUUAUGGAAUAGGAUGGGGUGUCAUAUGCACAUAUGUUAUAUGUGCAUGUAUGUAUGUAUGUAUGUAUGAAUAUAUACAUGUACAAUGCAUAUAUGUUUAUGAAUUAAUAUGUACCUGCAUUGCUCAAACAUACUUACUGUUUUACAGUUAAAGGAGCUAAACAUUUUAAGCACUGAUUGAAAAUAAAAACUUCAUGUCUCUGCAAAAUAUUGAGGCAGAAGUAAGGGAUCUCUGUCUUCGAGCUUUGAAAGGGAACGUUUCUAACACAAGCCAAAGGCAAGAGGACCCCUUCACCUCAGAUCACACUUCCCAGUAAGGGAACUGUCUGGCACUCAGUGUGGGACAAAGGGCAGCAUCCCGUCCAUUGCUAAAUAAUCUCUACCAAAUGGAUUGACUUAACUUUUCCCCUUCAGAUCUCCUCCAGCCUCCUUCAAAGAGUUCAUUACAAAAACCCAAGUGGUUUAAUGAAAAGUUUACUACCUAACAAAUGGUGCCGACUCCAGUUCUUGCCUUGUCCCGAAGACCCCGGUGCUCACUUAUUUUGUCAGAAACACAAAAAAGGAGAAACGCAAUUGCAUUUGUGCUGAUGCUAAAUGUUAAUAGAUUUGCCUAAAUGCUUGCUAAUAGCCCCCUAAAAUUAGCUAGACUAGUAGUGCAUGCCUAAUGCCUUCUUGUUUUUGUUGGUUUACUUGCCUUGUGUUUUUCUUUCUUUUAUCACAGGGAGGAAAAUAAAAGAGGAAAGAAAGAUUCAGAGAGAGAGAGAGAGACAGACAGACAGACAGAGACAGAGAGAGAGAGAGAGAGAGAGAGAGAGAGAGAGAGAGAGAGAGAGAGAGAGGAGGUUUUUAAGCUACAAGGCACUGUCAGUGUUGCAUGUGAAUUCAGGAGGAAGAACAUAUAUUCUGAAACUAUCCCACAGAUCUGACACUCUGUCAUGAAGGUGACGAAUCCUGGUGCUCUAAUGUUUCAUUAAAUUAAACAUGAAAUGUUUAAUGUUUUGUUAAAUUAAACAUGAAGCUGUGACUUUGGACCCGAGAAGCACAGGCUUCCAUCAGUUCUCCCCAUUCCUUCAGGUCACUUUUCAGGUUAUAAAAAUGGAGGUUUGUUUAUUACCAGGAUUGCAUUUCCUUCUGCAGUUAAAAGACACUUUUCUUUGCCCGUACCCACAAAUAUGAACCACCAAGCAGCACAACUUAGGGAGGUUUGAAAACAUGUCUAAACCUAGUCCUACUGAAAAGAGCUUGCAGACAGCCCCUUUACUAAGCCUGUCUCGUUCUCUUUCAAACAUUUGCAACUGUCAUGGAGAGGUUUCUUAAGAACAGAGGUGCGCACACUUUCAUGAGAUCUGAAGCCCAUUUUGCAGAUGGGUACACUCAUUCCCAGGAAGAGGACUAUUGGCUAAAAACUGUAUGAACUAAGAGGAAGACUAAAACCCAUCCAGUUUGAAGCCUUCCUUAGUCCUUACUCAGGAAGGUAAACAGUGGCAAGGAAAAUUAAAACCAAAUCAAAGCGCAGGUCGGACUUGGGUGAAGGUCUGCAAAAUGGGGAGUGGGAGGGCUUGGGCAGUGAAGGAGUGAAAGUUGUGCUAGAAGUACUAAAAGUGGCAGAAACACAGAGCCUGCACCAGAGAGGAAGGAAGCUCACACAAACAGUGUUCCUUUCCAGUCAGUACCGUGACAUUGUUACCAGCCCUUUGUAGAGCUCUCAGUAACAAGUCCAAAUACUACCUUACAAAACCCAUUUUGGGGAUGCCGUUUAAGUGAAAACAACACCAACAACUAUGUAGCAAAUCAAAAUGGAAAGAUAGCUCUGUCCCCAAAUGAAACUGGCAGAUCACACACACACAUAUAUAUUUUUUUUCCAUGUAAAUGUUAGUGGGUCAUUACUGGUUUCUAAAUAAAGUCCCACAAUGACCACAGCAAUGACAGCUAAGAGAGGACUGACCAUCGUCCCCUUCCCCAAUGGGCAACUUAUUCAAAGUCUCCAAAGCUCCAGCUGUUCCUUGGUGAACUCAGGCUUCUCCACGGA